AUUGAACGCUGGCGGCAGGCCUAACACAUGCAAGUCGAACGAGUGGCGGACGGGUGAGUAAUGUCUGGGAAACUGCCCGAUGGAGGGGGAUAACUACUGGAAACGGUAGCUAAUACCGCAUACCAUCGGAGGUGCCCCGAUGGGAUUAGCUAGUAGGUGGGGUAACGGCUCACCUAGGCGGCGAUCCCUAGCUGGUAUGCGAGGAUGACCAGCCACACUGUAACUGAGACACGGUCCAGACCCCUACGGGAGGCAGCAGUGGGGAAUAUUGCACAAUGGGCGCAAUCCUGAUGCAGCCAUGCCGCGUGUAUGAAGAAGGCCUUCGGGUUGUAAAGUACUUUCAUCGAGGAGGCGUUACUCGCAGAAGAAGCACCGGCUAACUCCGUGCCAGCAGCCGCGGUAAUAC
rnacentral:rRNA from 1 species